rnacentral:rRNA from 1 species
GGUCGUGAGAUGUUGGGUUAAGUCCCGUAACGAGCGCAACCCUUGUCCUUAAUUACCAGCACGUUAUGGUGGGCACUCUAAGGAGACUGCCGGUGACAAACCGGAGGAAGGUGGGGAUGACGUCAAGUCAUCAUGGCCCUUACGGCCUGGGCUACACACGUGCUACAAUGGUCGGUACAAAGGGUUGCCAAGCCGCGAGGUGGAGCUAAUCCCAUAAAACCGAUCGUAGUCCGGAUCGCAGUCUGCAACUCGACUGCGUGAAGUCGGAAUCGCUAGUAAUCGUGAAUCAGAAUGUCACGGUGAAUACGUUCCCGGGCCUU